AACGAACGCUGGCGGCAGGCUUAACACAUGCAAGUCGAGCGCCCCGCAAGGGGAGCGGCAGACGGGUGAGUAACGCGUGGGAAUCUACCCAUCUCUACGGAAUAACGCAUGGAAACGUGUGCUAAUACCGUAUACGUCCUUCGGGAGAAAGAUUUAUCGGAGGUGGAUGAGCCCGCGUUGGAUUAGCUAGUUGGUGGGGUAAAGGCCUACCAAGGCGACGAUCCAUAGCUGGUCUGAGAGGAUGAUCAGCCACACUGGGACUGAGACACGGCCCAGACGCCGACGGGAGGCAGCAGUGGGGAAUAUUGGACAACGGGCGCAAGCCUGCUCCAGCCAUGCCGCGUGAGUGAUGAAGGCCCUAGGGUUGUAAAGCUCUUUCACCGGUGAAGAUAAUGACGGUAACCGGAGAAGAAGCCCCGGCUAACUUCGUGCCAGCCGCCGCCGUAAAAC
rnacentral:rRNA from 1 species